GAAUGAGUUUGCAUAUAUAAAAAUUGUCUGGCAUAUCCUAGAACUUCCUUUGCUCCCAUUUUUUGCGUCUUUUCCCACUGUCCAUAAUUAUCAGUCCAAAAUAUAACUCCCAGAUUCCCACAGCUACACAGGAUCUGGCCCAGGCAACAUCAGAAUGCAUCCACUGCAAUUACGCUACUACAGGACAUUCACUUUUAAAGGAUCUGCGGAGGUUAAAUUUUUUCAGGACUAUGCAAAAUUCUCUCUGAUAAUGGCUUAUUUGCUCGCAAUUGAAUAAUGUGUAUCAAAUCAAUUGAACAGUAUUUAUUAAGCCCCAUCCAAUGUCCUGGGUAAUAUGGAGAACGCAGAGGAAGAAGAAAAGAACUUACAAUUUUGUGAAAGAAACCAAACUAGGCUGAAGUGUGGUGGUGUGAUAUUGGCUCGCUGCAACCUCCACCUCCCAGGUUCAAGUGAUUCUCCUGCCUCAGCCUCCUGAGUAGCUGGGAUUACAGUGAAUUUUACGGCCGAGAAACUGGCUCGGGCACAAC
rnacentral:lncRNA from 13 species